AGUGAACGCUGGCGGUAGGCCUAACACAUGCAAGUCGAACGGCAGCACAGUAAGAGCUUGCUCUUACGGGUGGCGAGUGGCGGACGGGUGCGGAAUACAUCGGAAUCUACUUUUUCGUGGGGGAUAACGUAGGGAAACUUACGCUAAUACCGCAUACGACCUACGGGUGAAAGCAGGGGAUCUUCUGACCUUGCGCGAUUGAAUGAGCCGAUGUCGGAUUAGCUAGUUGGCGGGGUAAAGGCCCACCAAGGCGACGAUCCGUAGCUGGUCUGAGAGGAUGAUCAGCCACACUGGAACUGAGACACGGUCCAGACUCCUACGGGAGGCAGCAGUGGGGAAUAUUGGACAAUGGGCGCAAGCCUGAUCCAGCCAUACCGCGUGGGUGAAGAAGGCCUUCGGGUUGUAAAGCCCUUUUGUUGGGAAAGAAAAGCAGCAGGUUAAUACCCCGCUGUUCUGACGGUACCCAAAGAAUAAGCACCGGCUAACUUCGUG
rnacentral:rRNA from 1 species